UACGUAGGGGGCAAGCGUUGUCCGGAAUCAUUGGGCGUAAAGAGCGCGUAGGCGGCCCGAUAAGUCCGCUGUGAAAGUCAAGGGCUCAACCCUUGAAUGCCGGUGGAUACUGUCGGGCUAGAGUCCGGAAGAGGCGAGUGGAAUUCCUGGUGUAGCGGUGAAAUGCGCAGAUAUCAGGAGGAACACCAGUGGCGAAGGCGAGUCUCUGGGCUGAUACCGACGCUGAGGCGCGAAAGCCAGGGGAGCAAACGGG
rnacentral:rRNA from 1 species